UUGAUCACGUGACACACCAAACAACUCCUGGUGUAUAAAUGUGAGCGUGAGGUGAGCGUUCGUCACUGUCGUUGAAGUUACAACCCGAUCUUAAAGAUGGAAUCCCUCCUCGCCAUGUGCCUCCUUGUCGCAUUUGCUGUGAUCAGCAUUGGGUUCAGUCCCGUCGCAGCGGCCUCAGAGCCCGAGAACUCCGCCGCCACCCAAGGCAUCUCCGUCCUUCUGGGGUCCUUGGCGAUGGUGCUGGGCUAUGUCUUGUCCAAGUAGCCAGUGACCACCAUGACACGUCUGCCCCAGAAUCUGUCACAGACGGGGGCUCACAUAAUCUCAACAAGACUGUGGAAAUACUCAUAAUCAUUUUAGCUAACCUUGCCAUAUCCUGUUUUAUACUGUUACAUUGCACCAUGAAAAAUACCAUUUGGACCAUAAAGUAAUUUGAAGCUUUA